GCCCCGGUAAACGGCGGCCGUAACUAUAACGGUCCUAAGGUAGCGAAAUUCCUUGUCGGGUAAGUUCCGACCUGCACGAAUGGCGUAAUGAUGGCCAGGCUGUCUCCACCCGAGACUCAGUGAAAUUGAACUCGCUGUGAAGAUGCAGUGUACCCGCGGCAAGACGGAAAGACCCCGUGAACCUUUACUAUAGCUUGACACUGAACAUUGAGCCUUGAUGUGUAGGAUAGGUGGGAGGCUUUGAAGUGUGGACGCCAGUCUGCAUGGAGCCGGCCUUGAAAUACCACCCUUUAAUGUUUGAUGUUCUAACGUUGGCCCGUAAUCCGGGUUGCGGACAGUGUCUGGUGGGUAGUUUGACUGGGGCGGUCUCCUCCUAAAGAGUAACGGAGGAGCACGAAGGUUGGCUAAUCCUGGUCGGACAUCAGGAGGUUAGUGCAAUGGCAUAAGCCAGCUUGACUGCGAGCGUGACGGCGCGAGCAGGUGCGAAAGCAGGUCAUAGUGAUCCGGUGGUUCUGAAUGGAAGGGCCAUCGCUCAACGGAUAAAAGGUACUCCGGGGAUAACAGGCUGAUACCGCCCAAGAGUUCAUAUCGACGGCGGUGUUUGGCACCUCGAUGUCGGCUCAUCACAUCCUGGGGCUGAAGUAGGUCCCAAGGGUAUGGCUGUUCGCCAUUUAAAGUGGUACGCGAGCUGGGUUUAGAACGUCGUGAGACAGUUCGGUCCCUAUCUGCCGUGGGCGCUGGAGAACUGAGGGGGGCUGCUCCUAGUACGAGAGGACCGGAGUGGACGCAUCACUGGUGUUCGGGUUGUCAUGCCAAUGGCACUGCCCGGUAGCUAAAUGCGGAAGAGAUAAGUGCUGAAAGCAUCUAAGCACGAAACUUGCCCCGAGAUGAGUUCUCCCUGACUCCUUGAGGGUCCUGAAGGAACGUUGAAGACGACGACGUUGAUAGGCCGGGUGUGUAAGCGCAGCGAUGCGUUGAGCUAACCGGUACUAAUGAACCGUGAGGCUUAACCUUACAACGCCGAAG
rnacentral:rRNA from 1 species